GAUUAAGUUAUUAAGGGCGCACGGUGGAUGCCUUGGCACUAGAAGCCGAUGAAGGACGUUACUAACGACGAUAUGCUUUGGGGAGCUGUAAGUAAGCUUUGAUCCAGAGAUUUCCGAAUGGGGAAACCCAGCAUGAGUUAUGUCAUGUUAUCGAUAUGUGAAUACAUAGCAUAUCAGAAGGCACACCCGGAGAACUGAAACAUCUUAGUACCCGGAGGAAGAGAAAGAAAAUUCGAUUCCCUUAGUAGCGGCGAGCGAAACGGGAAGAGCCCAAACCAACAAGCUUGCUUGUUGGGGUUGUAGGACACUCUAUACGGAGUUACAAAGGACGACAUUAGACGAAUCAUCUGGAAAGAUGAAUCAAAGAAGGUAAUAAUCCUGUAGUCGAAAAUGUUGUCUCUCUUGAGUGGAUCCUGAGUACGACGGAGCACGUGAAAUUCCGUCGGAAUCUGGGAGGACCAUCUCCUAAGGCUAAAUACUCUCUAGUGACCGAUAGCGAACCAGUACCGUGAGGGAAAGGUGAAAAGCACCCCGGAAGGGGAGUGAAAUAGAACCUGAAACCGUGUGCUUACAAGUAGUCAGAGCCCGUUAAUGGGUGAUGGCGUGCCUUUUGUAGAAUGAACCGGCGAGUUACGAUUUGAUGCAAGGUUAAGCAGUAAAUGUGGAGCCGUAGCGAAAGCGAGUCUGAAUAGGGCGUUUAGUAUUUGGUCGUAGACCCGAAACCAGGUGAUCUACCCUUGGUCAGGUUGAAGUUCAGGUAACACUGAAUGGAGGACCGAACCGACUUACGUUGAAAAGUGAGCGGAUGAACUGAGGGUAGCGGAGAAAUUCCAAUCGAACCUGGAGAUAGCUGGUUCUCUCCGAAAUAGCUUUAGGGCUAGCCUCAAGUGAUGAUUAUUGGAGGUAGAGCACUGUUUGGACGAGGGGCCCCUCUCGGGUUACCGAAUUCAGACAAACUCCGAAUGCCAAUUAAUUUAACUUGGGAGUCAGAACAUGGGUGAUAAGGUCCGUGUUCGAAAGGGAAACAGCCCAGACCACCAGCUAAGGUCCCAAAAUAUAUGUUAAGUGGAAAAGGAUGUGGCGUUGCCCAGACAACUAGGAUGUUGGCUUAGAAGCAGCCAUCAUUUAAAGAGUGCGUAAUAGCUCACUAGUCGAGUGACACUGCGCCGAAAAUGUACCGGGGCUAAACAUAUUACCGAAGCUGUGGAUUGUCCUUUGGACAAUGGUAGGAGAGCGUUCUAAGGGCGUUGAAGCAUGAUCGUAAGGACAUGUGGAGCGCUUAGAAGUGAGAAUGCCGGUGUGAGUAGCGAAAGACGGGUGAGAAUCCCGUCCACCGAUUGACUAAGGUUUCCAGAGGAAGGCUCGUCCGCUCUGGGUUAGUCGGGUCCUAAGCUGAGGCCGACAGGCGUAGGCGAUGGAUAACAGGUUGAUAUUCCUGUACCACCUAUAAUCGUUUUAAUCGAUGGGGGACGCAGUAGGAUAGGCGAAGCGUGCGAUUGGAUUGCACGUCUAAGCAGUAAGGCUGAGUAUUAGGCAAAUCCGGUACUCGUUAAGGCUGAGCUGUGAUGGGGAGAAGACAUUGUGUCUUCGAGUCGUUGAUUUCACACUGCCGAGAAAAGCCUCUAGAUAGAAAAUAGGUGCCCGUACCGCAAACCGACACAGGUAGUCAAGAUGAGAAUUCUAAGGUGAGCGAGCGAACUCUCGUUAAGGAACUCGGCAAAAUGACCCCGUAACUUCGGGAGAAGGGGUGCUCUUUAGGGUUAACGCCCAGAAGAGCCGCAGUGAAUAGGCCCAAGCGACUGUUUAUCAAAAACACAGGUCUCUGCUAAACCGUAAGGUGAUGUAUAGGGGCUGACGCCUGCCCGGUGCUGGAAGGUUAAGAGGAGUGGUUAGCUUCUGCGAAGCUACGAAUCGAAGCCCCAGUAAACGGCGGCCGUAACUAUAACGGUCCUAAGGUAGCGAAAUUCCUUGUCGGGUAAGUUCCGACCCGCACGAAAGGCGUAACGAUUUGGGCACUGUCUCAACGAGAGACUCGGUGAAAUCAUAGUACCUGUGAAGAUGCAGGUUACCCGCGACAGGACGGAAAGACCCCGUGGAGCUUUACUGUAGCCUGAUAUUGAAAUUCGGCACAGCUUGUACAGGAUAGGUAGGAGCCUUUGAAACGUGAGCGCUAGCUUACGUGGAGGCGCUGGUGGGAUACUACCCUAGCUGUGUUGGCUUUCUAACCCGCACCACUUAUCGUGGUGGGAGACAGUGUCAGGCGGGCAGUUUGACUGGGGCGGUCGCCUCCUAAAAGGUAACGGAGGCGCUCAAAGGUUCCCUCAGAAUGGUUGGAAAUCAUUCAUAGAGUGUAAAGGCAUAAGGGAGCUUGACUGCGAGACCUACAAGUCGAGCAGGGUCGAAAGACGGACUUAGUGAUCCGGUGGUUCCGCAUGGAAGGGCCAUCGCUCAACGGAUAAAAGCUACCCCGGGGAUAACAGGCUUAUCUCCCCCAAGAGUUCACAUCGACGGGGAGGUUUGGCACCUCGAUGUCGGCUCAUCGCAUCCUGGGGCUGUAGUCGGUCCCAAGGGUUGGGCUGUUCGCCCAUUAAAGCGGUACGCGAGCUGGGUUCAGAACGUCGUGAGACAGUUCGGUCCCUAUCCGUCGUGGGCGUAGGAAAUUUGAGAGGAGCUGUCCUUAGUACGAGAGGACCGGGAUGGACAUACCUCUGGUGUACCAGUUGUCGUGCCAACGGCAUAGCUGGGUAGCUAUGUGUGGACGGGAUAAGUGCUGAAAGCAUCUAAGCAUGAAGCCCCCCUCAAGAUGAGAUUUCCCAACUUCGGUUAUAAGAUCCCUCAAAGAUGAUGAGGUUAAUAGGUUCGAGGUGGAAGCAUGGUGACAUGUGGAGCUGACGAAUACUAAUCGAUCGAAGACUUAAUCAA
rnacentral:rRNA from 1 species